rnacentral:lncRNA from 1 species
GGAGGCCGGCUGUUCUCCCGGCAAUACUGCAGCGAACAUGGCAUUUUAGCGGUUGAGUGACAACAUAGUUAUAUGACUAAUGGUUUGUCACGUGCCUUGUAAGUUUUUAGGUUCCAAGUACACAAACCAAACCAUGGUGAGAUCCAAAUCAUGGUAUUCAAGCAUCCAAGCUAUGGUAUUCUUGAUAGCCAAAUUAUGGUAUUCAAGCAUCCAAGCUAU